rnacentral:rRNA from 1 species
GACGAACGCUGGCGGCGUGCUUAACACAUGCAAGUCGAACGAUGAACCCGGAGCUUGCUCCGGCGGAUUAGUGGCGAACGGGUGAGUAACACGUGAGUAACCUGCCCUUGACUCUGGGAUAACUGCGGGAAACUGUAGCUAAUACCGGAUACGACCCUCGGCGGCAUCGCCAGGGGGUGGAAAGAAUUUCGGUCAAGGAUGGACUCGCGGCCUAUCAGCUAGUUGGUGAGGUAAUGGCUCACCAAGGCUACGAUCAGUAGCCGGCCUGAGAGGGUGACCGGCCACACUGGGACUGAGACACGGCCCAGACUCCUACGGGAGGCAGCAGAGGGGAAUAUUGCACAAUGGGCGCAAGCCUGAUGCAGCAACGCCGCGUGAGGGAUGACGGCCUUCGGGUUGUAAACCUCUUUUAGUAGGGAAGAAGCGAAAGUGACGGUACCUGCAGAAAAAGCACCGGCUAACUACGUGCCAGCCGCCGCAGUAA